AUAAUAUAUUUGAUAAGGCAUCUUAUUAAUAUUAAAGCUUCGGCACUUGAUGAUGGGUGUGCGGCUGAUUAGAUAGUGGCGGGUAACGGCCCACCAAGUCUACGAUCAGUAGCUGAUGUGAGAGCAUGAUCAGCCACACGGGCACUGAGACACGGGCCCGACUCCUACGGGAGGCAGCAGUAAGGAAUAUUGGACAAUGGACGAAAGUCUGAUCCAGCCAUGCCGCGUGAAGGAUUAAGGUCCUCUGGAUUGUAAACUUCUUUUAUAUGGGACGAAAAAAGGGCAUUCUUGUUCACUUGACGGUACCAUAUGAAUAAGCACCGGCUAACUCCGUG
rnacentral:rRNA from 1 species